UACAGAGGUCUCAAGCGUUGUUCGGAUUCAUUGGGCGUAAAGGGCGCGUAGGCGGUCAGCACAAGUCAGUUGUGAAAUCUCCGAGCUUAACUCGGAAAGGUCAACUGAUACUGUGCGGCUAGAGUGCGGAAGGGGCAACUGGAAUUCUUGGUGUAGCGGUGAAAUGCGUAGAUAUCAAGAGGAACACCUGCGGCGAAGGCGGGUUGCUGGGCCGACACUGACGCUGAGGCGCGAAAGCUAGGGGAGCGAACGGG
rnacentral:rRNA from 1 species